rnacentral:tRNA from 1 species
GCCUGGCUGGCUCAGUCGGAAAAGCAUGAGACUCUUGAUCUCGGGGUUGUGAGUUGGAGCCCCACACUGGGUA